rnacentral:rRNA from 1 species
AGUCGACGGAUCCAUACUGAAACCUAGUGAUGUAUGGAUUAGUGGCGGACUGGGUGAGUAACGCGUGGAUAACCUGCCGUAUACAGGGGGAUAACACUUAGAAAUAGGUGCUAAUACCGCAUAAGCGCACGGUUCCGCAUGGAACAGUGUGAAAAACUCCGGUGGUAUACGAUGGAUCCGCGUCUGAUUAGCCAGUUGGUGGGGUAACGGCCCACCAAAGCGACGAUCAGUAGCCGGCCUGAGAGGGUGAACGGCCACAUUGGGACUGAGACACGGCCCAAACUCCUACGGGAGGCAGCAGUGGGGAAUAUUGCACAAUGGGGGAAACCCUGAUGCAGCGACGCCGCGUGAGUGAAGAAGUAUUUCGGUACGUAAAGCUCUAUCAGCAGGGAAGAAAAAAAGUCCUUUGGACUUUGGACGGUACCUGACCAAGAAGCCCCGGCUAACUACGUGCCAGCAGCCGCGGUAAUACGUAGGGGGCAAGCGUUAUCCGGAUUUACUGGGUGUAAAGGGAGCGUAGACGGCAGCGCAAGUCUGGAGUGAAAUGCCGGGGCCCAACCCCGGAACUGCUUUGGAAACUGUGCAGCUCGAGUGCAGGAGAGGUAAGCGGAAUUCCUAGUGUAGCGGUGAAAUGCGUAGAUAUUAGGAGGAACACCAGUGGCGAAGGCGGCUUACUGGACUGUAACUGACGUUGAGGCUCGAAAGCGUAGGGAGCAAACAGGAUUAGAUACCCUGGUAGUCCACGCCGUAAACGAUGAUUACUAGGUGUCGGGGGGCCAAGGCCCUCCGGUGCCGGCGCAAACGCAUUAAGUAAUCCACCUGG